rnacentral:rRNA from 1 species
AUUGAACGCUGGCGGCAGGCCUCACAUAUGCAAGUCGAGCGGGGCUUUCGGACCUAGCGGCGGACGGGUGAGUAAUGCGUAGGAAGCUGCCCGAUAGAGGGGGAUACCAGUUGGAAACGCCUGUUAAUACCGCAUAAUGUCUACGGACCAAAGUGUGGGACCUUCGGGCCACAUGCUAUCGGAUGCGCCUACGCGGGAUUAGCUAGUUGGUGAGGUAAUGGCUCACCAAGGCGACGAUCUCUAGCUGGGUUGAGAGGAUGAUCAGCCACACUGGAGCGUAUACACGGUACAGACGCCGACGGGAGGCAGCAGGGGGGAAGAUUGGACAAUGGGCGAAAGCCAGCUCCAGCCACGCCGCGUGUCUGAAGAAGGCCUUCGUGUUGUAAAGGACUUUUGUCGGGGAGGAAAUCCCCAGCGUUAAUACCGCUGGGGGAUGACAGUACCUGAAGAAUAAGCACCGGCUAACUACGUGCCAGCCGCCGCAGUAAAAC